UACGUAGGGUGCAAGCGUUGUCCGGAAUUAUUGGGCGUAAAGAGCUCGUAGGCGGUUUGUCGCGUCUGCUGUGAAAACUCGGGGCUUAACUCCGGGCCUGCAGUGGGUACGGGCAGACUAGAGGUAGGUAGGGGGAGAAUGGAAUUCCCGGUGUAGCGGUGAAAAUGCGCAGAUAUCGGGAGGAACACCGGUGCGAAGGCGGUUCUCUGGGCCUUACCUGACGCUGAGGAGCGAAAGCGUGGGGAG
rnacentral:rRNA from 1 species